rnacentral:rRNA from 1 species
AGAGUUUGAUCCUGGCUCAGGAUGAACGCUAGCGGCAGGCCUAACACAUGCAAGUCGAGGGGCAGCACGGUGUAGCAAUACACUGGUGGCGACCGGCGCACGGGUGCGUAACGCGUAUGCAACCUACCCAUAACAGGGGGAUAACACUGAGAAAUUGGUACUAAUACCCCAUAACAUCAGGACCGGCAUCGGUUCUGGUUGAAAACUCCGGUGGUUAUGGAUGGGCAUGCGUUGUAUUAGCUGGUUGGUGAGGUAACGGCUCACCAAGGCAACGAUACAUAGGGGGACUGAGAGGUUAACCCCCCACAUUGGUACUGAGACACGGACCAAACUCCUACGGGAGGCAGCAGUGAGGAAUAUUGGUCAAUGGACGCAAGUCUGAACCAGCCAUGCCGCGUGCAGGAAGACGGCUCUAUGAGUUGUAAACUGCUUUUGUACGAGAGUAAACGCUCUUACGUGUAAGAGCCUGAAAGUAUCGUACGAAUAAGGAUCGGCUAACUCCGUGCCAGCAGCCGCGGUAAUACGGAGGAUCCAAGCGUUAUCCGGAUUUAUUGGGUUUAAAGGGUGCGUAGGCGGUUUGAUAAGUUAGAGGUGAAAUUUCGGGGCUCAACCCUGAACGUGCCUCUAAUACUGUUGAGCUAGAGAGUAGUUGCGGUAGGCGGAAUGUAUGGUGUAGCGGUGAAAUGCUUAGAGAUCAUACAGAACACCGAUUGCGAAGGCAGCUUACCAAACUAUAUCUGACGUUGAGGCACGAAAGCGUGGGGAGCAAACAGGAUUAGAUACCCUGGUAGUCCACGCAGUAAACGAUGAUAACUCGUUGUCGGCGAUACACAGUCGGUGACUAAGCGAAAGCGAUAAGUUAUCCACCUGGGGAGUACGUUCGCAA